ensembl:lncRNA
AUGUUGUUGUUUAGGUGGGUCUGGGUCUGGGCUAAUGUUGUUGUCUAGGUGGGUCUGGGUCUGGGCUAAUGUUGUUGUCUAGGUGGGUCUGGGCUAAUGUUGUUGUCUAGGUGGGUCUGGGCUAAUGUUGUUGUCUAGGUGGGUCUGGGUUGAUGUUGUUGUCUAGGUGGGUCUGGGUUAAUGUUGUUGUCUAGGUGGGUCUGGGCUAAUGCUGUUGUCUAGGUGGGUCUGGGCUAAUGUUAUUGUUUAGGUGGGUCUGGGUCUGGGCUAAUGUUAUUGUUUAGGUGGGUCUGAGCUAAUGUUGUCUAGCUGGGUCUGGGCUAAUGCUGUUGUUUAGCUGGGUCUGGGCUAAUGCUGUUGUCUAGCUGGGUCUGGGCUAAUGCUGUUGUCUAGGUGGGUCUGGGUCUGGGCUAAUGUUGUUGUUUAGGUGGGUCUGGGUCUGGGCUAAUGUUGUUGUCUAGCUGGGUCUGGGCUAAUGUUGUUGUUUAGGUGGGUCUGGGCUAAUGUUGUUGUUGUUUAGGUGGGUCUGGGCUAAUGUUGUUGUUGUUGUUUAGGUGGGUCUGGGUUAAUGUUGUUGUUUAGGUGGGUCUGGGUUAAUGUUGUUUUUGUCUGUUUAUGGUGGGUCUGGGCUAAUGUUGUUGUUUAG